GAUGAACGCUGGCGGCGUGCCUAAUACAUGCAAGUCGAGCGAACAGACGAGGAGCUUGCUCCUCUGACGUUAGCGGCGGACGGGUGAGUAACACGUGGAUAACCUACCUAUAAGACUGGGAUAACUUCGGGAAACCGGAGCUAAUACCGGAUAAUAUAUUGAACCGCAUGGUUCAAUAGUGAAAGACGGUUUUGCUGUCACUUAUAGAUGGAUCCGCGCCGCAUUAGCUAGUUGGUAAGGUAACGGCUUACCAAGGCAACGAUGCGUAGCCGACCUGAGAGGGUGAUCGGCCACACUGGAACUGAGACACGGUCCAGACUCCUACGGGAGGCAGCAGUAGGGAAUCUUCCGCAAUGGGCGAAAGCCUGACGGAGCAACGCCGCGGGAGUGAUGAAGGUCUUCGGAUCGUAAAACUCUGUUAUUAGGAAGAACAAAUGUGUAAGUAACUAUGCACGUCUUGACGGUACCUAAUCAGAAAGCCACGGCUAACUACGUG
rnacentral:rRNA from 1 species